UUCACUCGUGAGCCUUGUCGACUGUUAUUCAAUUCCUGCUUAAGUAUUAAUAAAGGCUUUACAUGCCAGGGGGAGGUCGCGAGGCCCAACUGCAUGCUUGGGUGUCUCGCGCGUCUGUGCUCAUUUUUCCUGUGAUGAUCAUGAGAGGGGCGGGGCAACGAAGUCUUCUGUAACGGAUGCCCGUCUUAUGUAACUGGAGUCAGGAGGAAGCUCGGAGGGAGCCGAGGUGAAGACGCGAUGAGCGCGUUUAAAAGCUUUGGGGUCGGAGAGACGCGGCGACACGCCGCUGGUGACGACGCAGACUGGUGUAGCCUAAACCCCAUCACCUCCAGAGCAGCCAUGCCCACGCCUGUCCUUCUCCGAGAGUGGUGGUGCUGAGCUUACAUGGAAAACAGUGAAAGGAGGAUCCUCAUCGCCCACAUGGACCAGGCUCCUCGUCCCGCUCCACAGUUUGAGGUCGACGUGGACCUGGGCUUCGCCAUCUUCUUCCUCUUCCUGCUAUUUUUCUUCCUGCUGGUGAAGGUGGUGCGCUGUGCCCAGACUGUAUUGGAUCCCUACGGCUCCAUCUCCACCUCCACCUACCAGGAGGAGCAGAUCACCUAAGAGAGAAGAGGGGUGGGGGGGGGCAUCAACCAGUAACUAUGCAGGACUCACUCUCACUGCUGUAUUAUAGUUUUAGACCAGGCAGUUUUGAAUGGAUUCGAAGUCCACAUCACACAUGAGACGGACCACUUCUGAACAAAAAGAAGUUGUCGUUGGGCUACACUCUCAUGGAAGUGACAGGACAUGUAUCGGGGUGUGUGUGAGUGCUUCUGUCUUAAAUACAUUUCAAAUAACCAAUGGGUGGAUCACUCCAUGGACCUCCCAGGGGACCGAGACCUGAACCAGACAGAAAUUCAAAGAAGUCCGUCAAAACAACAGUGUCCUUGUCCCGUUUGUUUGUUCCUGAUAAUGAUCUGUUAAUAACAAGCCAAUCUUAAGAGCAUAUUUCUAUUUAUAUUAUUACACAUUUCUUUAUUUUUUAAAUAUGUCAUAUAAUAGAAUAUAUAAAACAAAUACAUAGUGAGCAUUCUUAAAAUAAGUUACAACAUGUACAUGUCUGUGACCACUCACUGUAAAUCUGUCCAUAGAAUAGCAGAGACUACUUCAUGUUCUUCUCUGAAGAGACCUGAACCCUCUCCAGUCGGCUCACAGCUACCCGGCACAUCGCACCAAUCCUUUGUUUAAAGAGGACAUUAAAACGGCAAAAACAUAAAUUACAUUUGGAAAGCUUUACAAUAAACUGUUUGCAUGUCAGCUCA